UAAUCACAGUGUUUAGUUUUUCAAUCUUAAUAUAAUGUAAUCAGGGUUAAGAUUAUUUAUAACGCGUACUGAUUUGGGGUGGUGACGGUGGGAAUAAAAUGUGCGAAAUCACAUCGUAAAACCUUUGAGAAAAAAAAUCAUUUUGAUAUGGACACUGUCUAAGUGCGCGGAUCUUCAUGAUCAACAUGCACAAGGGAUAGCCCAAACUUUUACCGAACACGUGGUUCUGUGUAUAGGACUGCCUGCUGAAGGACAGGAUCCUAAAAGCGUGUGUACAGGAGUGUCAGGGGAGAUCAACAGAAACACUCUCACACACGAGAAGAAACACUGUCAAGCCGCCCUGAAAGCGUCAAGACCGCAUUCGAAGGACACGAACAACAUACCAGCCACUACACUUCUCUCCAGAGCAGAUGGGUGUGAAAGAAAGUCAACUCAACAUUGCAAGACUUUCCUGCUGAAAUCUCAAACCACUGAAAUAGACCUUUUCAACGGAAGAUUUAUAAAGGAUAGUUGUUAUACUUAGCAAACUGCAGUGUUUACCAUGGAGCUUCUUCAGUUUUUGUCUAGGACAGAGAGCAGAGGCAUGUGAGAAGGUGGACCAGCUACAAGAGGAACAUUUAUUUUGGAUGAAAUGAAAUUAUUGUUUGGCCCUGUUGCUUGAAUCCUCUUACCUGUGGACAUAAAGUCAAGCUGCUGAAGCUUUCACAUUAUCUCACUGCUCUGAUGACUUUGACAUCCAAGGACAUAUUUCAGCGUAUUGGGUUCAGAGUCACUGUCUACGGAUCUGGAGUUAAUCCUUGUACUAGAGAACAGCUGGCAGUAUUUUUAGUUUAUUUCUGAUUUUAAACUGAUUAUAAAAUAGUAAAACAAAUGUAACCUGUUCACACUCUUUGGCUACACUAUUUACCUGUUAAUGUUAUCUUUAUGUUAUCAUUGCAAGCUAAAUGGUCAAUGUACACUGUAAACCCUAAUGUUGUCUUUACUUAUACAAUCAAGUAAUGUUGACUAAACAUUACUUAAAAUUUUGCAUUUUGCAUUUUGGACCCAUCACUUCAUUUAACUUAUUUACCAUCAAAAUGCAUAAACUUAAGAUUUCAAGUGUUGUGAGCUCAAAAUCAUGAUUAAUCCUUUGGAGGAAAAAACCUUUUCAAAAGGUCAAUUUUCACAAAUGUGAAUGUGGCGUGGGCGGGGCGGCGGCUGACGACCAGCAUGCUUUGCGGGAAUGUCGGUGUGUUCACCAUGUUGGGGAAGGGUGUUUGGGUUAGUGGCUUCGGCCCUGUUUGUGUGUGUGUGGGUAAGGGGUGAUGUGUGAAAGGUGCUCUGGUUCAUGCUGAGGCUGAAUUGGAUGGUGGUUCCUGUGUGAAUGUGCUGCUCAUGCCGUACAUGCUGUGUGCCUAAUAAAGUACUCUCCAACAUUCUUUCUGGUGGAAAAUUGUGGUAUUUUGUCAAUAAAAAAAAUCUAAGCUUAAAAAUGCUGUUCAUUGUUUUAUUUCAGUUCGGUGUGCACAAAGCUUGCAGUCAAAUAUAAG